rnacentral:rRNA from 1 species
CUUCGGCCAUGAGUAAAGUGGCAGACGGGUGAGUAACACGUGGGUAAUCAACCUUGUGGCGGGGGACAACCUUCCGAAAGGAGGGCUAAUACCGCGUAAGUCCGGAGGGUCCACGGAUCUUCCGGGGAAAGGGGGGCGCAAGCCUCUCACCAUAAGACGAACCCGCGUCCCAUCAGCUAGUUGGUGAGGUAACGGCUCACCAAGGCUAAGACGGGUAGCUGGUCUGAGAGGAUGACCAGCCACACUGGAACUGCGACACGGUCCAGACUCCUACGGGAGGCAGCAGUGGGGAAUAUUGGGCAAUGGGCGCAAGCCUGACCCAGCCACGCCGCGUGAGUGAUGAAGGCCUUCGGG